rnacentral:rRNA from 1 species
AUUGAACGCUGGCGGCAGGCUUAACACAUGCAAGUCGAGCGAGAGGCGGACGGGUGAGUAAUGUAUGGGAAAGUGCCUGAUGGAGGGGGAUAACUACUGGAAACGGUAGCUAAUACCGCAUACUAUUAGAUGUGCCGAGAUGGGAUUAGCUAGUUGGUGGGGUAAUGGCUCACCUAGGCGACGAUCCCUAGCUGGUCUGAGAGGAUGACCAGCCACACUGGAACUGAGACACGGUCCAGACUCCUACGGGAGGCAGCAGUGGGGAAUAUUGGACAAUGGGCGCAAGCCUGAUCCAGCCAUGCCGCGUGUAUGAUGAAGGCCUUCGGGUUGUAAAGCACUUUCGGCAGAGAAGCGUUACUCGCAGAAUAAGCACCGGCUAACUCCGUGCCAGCAGCCGCGGUAAUAC